GUGCCAGCCGCCGCGGUAAUACCGGCAGCCCGAGUGAUGGCCGAUUUUAUUGGGCCUAAAGCGUCCGUAGCCGGCCAGUCAAGUUUGUUGGGAAAUCCACGUGCUUAACACGUGGGCGUCCAGCGAAAACUGUCUGGCUUGGGGCCGGAAGACUCGAGGGGUACGUCCGGGGUAGGAGUGAAAUCCCGUAAUCCUGGACGGACCGCUGGUGGCGAAAGCGCCUCGAGAGAACGGACCCGACGGUGAGGGACGAAAGCCAGGGUCUCGAACCGGAUUAGAUACCCUGGUAGUCC
rnacentral:rRNA from 1 species